GGUGUAAUUGCUGAAUUAUAUGGUGAAUGCAUUUUUAAUUUUAAAAGAAAUGGCUAAACUAUCUUCCAGAGUAUCUGUACCAUUGUACACCCCACCAGCAAU
rnacentral:pre_miRNA from 1 species